UGGGGAAUUUUGGACAAUGGGCGCAAGCCUGAUCCAGCAAUGCCGCGUGCAGGAUGAAGGCCUUCGGGUUGUAAACUGCUUUUGUACGGAGCGAAACGGCUUCCACUAAUACUGGGGGCUAAUGACGGUACCGUAAGAAUAAGCACCGGCUAACUACGUGCCAGCAGCCGCGGUAAUACGUAGGGUGCGAGCGUUAAUCGGAAUUACUGGGCGUAAAGCGUGCGCAGGCGGUCUUGUAAGACAGGUGUGAAAUCCCCGGGCUUAACCUGGGAACUGCACUUGUGACUGCAAGGCUGGAGUACGGCAGAGGGGGAUGGAAUUCCGCGUGUAGCAGUGAAAUGCGUAGAUAUGCGGAGGAACACCGAUGGCGAAGGCAAUCCCCUGGGCCUGUACUGACGCUCAUGCACGAAAGCGUGGGGAGCAAACAGG
rnacentral:rRNA from 1 species